UACAGAGGUGGCAAGCGUUGUUCGGAAUUACUGGGCGUAAAGCGUGCGCAGGCGGUUUGCUAAGACAGGUGUGAAAUCCCCGGGCUCAACCCUGGGAACUGCAUUUGUGACUGCACGGCUGGAGUGCGGCAGAGGGGGAUGGAAUUCCGCGUGUAGCAGUGAAAUGCGUAGAUAUGCGGAGGAACACCGAUGGCGAAGGCAAUCCCCUGGGCCUGCACUGACGCUCAUGCACGAAAGCGUGGGGAGUAAACAG
rnacentral:rRNA from 1 species